rnacentral:tRNA from 1 species
GCUUCUUUAGCUCAGUUGGUACGAGCGUCUGACUGAAGGAUUCAUUUUCUUGUCAAAGUCGCCACUGGCUGCAGUGGAUCGUAUAUCGGGAGGUCACCUGUUCGACCCAGGUAAGGAGCA